AACGAACGCUGGCGGCAGGCCUAACACAUGCAAGUCGAACGCUGUAGCAAUACAGAGUGGCAGACGGGUGAGUAACGCGUGGGAACAUACCCUUCGGUUCGGAAUAACUCAGGGAACGUUAGAGCUAAUACCGGAUACGUGCGAGAGCAGAAAGAUUCAUCGCCGAAGGAUUGGCCCGCGUUCGAUUAGCUUGUUGGUGAGGUAAUGGCUCACCAAGGCGACGAUCGAUAGCUGGUCUGAGAGGAUGAUCAGCCACAUU
rnacentral:rRNA from 1 species